GGAUAACUUACCCUUUAGGACUGGGAUAACUUUGGGAAACUGGGGAUAAUACUGGAUAUUAGGCUAUGCCUGGAAUGGUUUGCCUUUGAAAUGUUUUUUUUCGCCUAAGGAUAGGUCUGCGGCUGAUUAGGUCGUUGGUGGGGUAAUGGCCCACCAAGCCGAUGAUCGGUACGGGUUGUGAGAGCAAGGGCCCGGAGAUGGAACCUGAGACAAGGUUCCAGACCCUACGGGGUGCAGCAGGCGCGAAACCUCCGCAAUGUACGAAAGUGCGACGGGGGGAUCCCAAGUGUUAUGCUUUUUUGUAUGACUUUUCAUUAGUGUAAAAAGCUUUUAGAAUAAGAGCUGGGCAAGACCGGUGCCAGCCGCCGCGGUAACACCGGCAGCUCGAGUGGUAGCUGUUUUUAUUGGGCCUAAAGCGUUCGUAGCCGGUUUGAUAAGUCUUUGGUGAAAGCUUGUAGCUUAACUAUAAGAAUUGCUGGAGAUACUAUUAGACUUGAAGUCGGGAGAGGUUAGAGGUACUACCGGGGUAGGGGUGAAAUCCUAUAAUCCUGGGAGGACCACCUGUGGCGAAGGCGUCUAACUGGAACGAUCUUGACGGUGAGUAACGAAAGCCAGGGGCGCGAACCGGAUUAGAUACCCGGGUAGUCCUGGCCGUAAACGAUGUGGACUUGGUGUUGGAAUGGCUUUGAGUUGUUCCGGUGCCGAAGGGAAGCUGUUAAGUCCACCGCCUGGGAAGUACGGUCGCAAGACUGAAACUUAA
rnacentral:rRNA from 1 species